UACGUAGGGUGCGAGCGUUGUCCGGAAUUAUUGGGCGUAAAGAGCUUGUAGGCGGUUUGUCGCGUCUGCUGUGAAAAUCCGGGGCUCAACCCCGGACUUGCAGUGGGUACGGGCAGACUAGAGUGUGGUAGGGGAGACUGGAAUUCCUGGUGUAGCGGUGGAAUGCGCAGAUAUCAGGAGGAACACCGAUGGGCGAAGGCAGGUCUCUGGGCCACUACUG
rnacentral:rRNA from 1 species